rnacentral:rRNA from 1 species
UACAGAGGGUGCGAGCGUUAAUCGGAAUUACUGGGCGUAAAGCGCGCGUAGGCGGUUAUGUAAGUCGGGUGUGAAAGCCCCGGGCUCAACCUGGGAAUUGCAUUCGAAACUGCAUGGCUAGAGUCUGAUAGAGGGAAGUGGAAUUUCCGGUGUAGCGGUGAAAUGCGUAGAUAUCGGAAGGAACAUCAGUGGCGAAGGCGGCUUCCUGGAUCAAGACUGACGCUGAGGUGCGAAAGCGUGGGUAGCAAACAGG